rnacentral:rRNA from 1 species
CCUACGGGAGGCAGCAGUAGGGAAUAUUGCUCAAUGGGGGAAACCCUGAAGCAGCAACGCCGCGUGGAGGAUGAAGGUUUUCGGAUUGUAAACUCCUUUUGUUAGAGAAGAUAAUGACGGUAUGUAACGAAUAAGCACCGGCUAACACCGUGACAGCAGCCGCGGUAAUACGGAGGGUGCAAGCGUUACUCGGAAUCUCUGGGCGUAAAGCGCGCGUAAGAGGGAUAGCAAGUCAGGUGUGAAAUCCUAGGGCAUAACCAUAGAACUGCAUUUGAAACUGUUAUUCUAGAGUAUGGGAGAGGUAUGUGGAAUGCUGGGUGUAGCGGUAAAAUCCGUAGAGAUCAAGAGGAAUACUCAUUGCGAAGGCGACCUGCUAGAACAUAACUGACGCUGAUGCGCGAAAGCGUGGGUAGCGAACAGGAGUAGAUACCCUUGUAGUC